rnacentral:tRNA from 1 species
UCCUGGGUGGCUCAGUCGGUUGAGCAUCUGACUUCGGCUCAGGUCAUGAUCUCACCAUUCGUGAGUUCAAGCCCCACGUCAGGCU